rnacentral:rRNA from 1 species
UACAGAGACCUCAAGCGUUAUCCGGAAUCAUUGGGCGUAAAGCGUACCGAUCGGUGGUUAAGAUAGUCAGAUGUGAAAUCUCCGAGCUCAACUCGGAAUCUGUCAUUUGAAACUUCUUGACUAGAGGGGCAAAGAGGAAGCUGGAACAAACGGUGUAGUAGUGAAAUGCGUUGAUAUCGUUUGGAACACCAAUAGCGAAGGCAGGCUUCUGGGCGCCACCUGACACUGCUAGGACGAAAGCGUGGGGAGCGAAUGGG